UCUGGAGAUCUCUGCGUAUCUGAAGUCUUCUGAAGGUAAGCAGCUUAUUUUCUUUAUUUCUGUACCUACUGUUGUUGUGUUUGAGUGAAUCCUCCCUCACUGUGGCAUGGGAUCUUGCUGUUUUGCUGUCAUUGUUGUGCUUACCAUUGCAUUUCAGAUUCCAACUUCUGGCUCCGCACAGGAUGACCCAAAAUUAAAAUCUGGUGUUCAAAAUCAUUGUGCAAAUGCUUCUUGAACUCCAACUGCUUGGGGUUAUUAUUGUUGCUGUGGGAAAACUGUUUAGGGGCUCCAAAACCCUCUCGUGAAGAACCUUUUCCUAACACAUUGCUUGAUAUUCCUUGACAUACAGCUCCGUGCCAUGCCAGGCUUCUCUACCCUCAAGGUAGUUAAAUACUCCACCCAGUUUAAAGUUGUCCAUGAACUUGUUUAUUAGGCCUUCUAGUUUUGAGUUCAAUUAAUUUAGGUAAACUUUAAAGAGGACUAAUUAGGGGCUAGUAUCUUUUUCCCUGUAACAUCUCUUUCUAAGCUUUCUACUUUCAAAUUUGAGCACAAAAUGUGUUAUCACUUAAUCCCCCAAAAUAUGAGAUUAAUUUACGUAUCUGUAGGCAUGUGGCAGUUUUCAUUGCAAAAGUUAUUAUAUAUUUGCAAUGUAAUUACAGAGCAGUUUCAUGAUAAUUAAAAAAUUAUUUGUGGAACGUGGAGUGAGACAUUAGAUGAAAUUGCUAUAUUGUCCUAUUUACCCAUAAUUAUUUGUCUAAAAAUAUAAGGGUGGAAUUUCAUGUUUUGUGCUCUCAGAGAGAUGCUUUAUGAGAACGAGAUACUUGUUUAGAUCUGAAUAAGUAUUUAGUGUUUAAAUAGUUUUCUCUACUCAUCCCCAAAACUUUGCAUUCAAUCUUUCCUCUACAAACCAUGAAAAUACUUCUGGCAGACAGGCAGCUCUUCAGCAUGUCCUCAGGUGCUUUUUGAGAUAAGAUAGAGAUGAAAAGUAGAAAAGCAUCUGUACACUGGAUGAUAAGGGUGAAAACAUAAAGUCACAGUGAUUUAUAGUAUCUCUAUGAUGUAUGUGGAGAACCUUUAUUUUUGCUCCUUUAAAAGAAAUGGAGCCUUGUACUUGAGGCUAAGGUUGGGGCCAUUAAUUGGGAAUUGUCAAGAAUGAAUUGCAAGUGCAGCGAGGUCUUGCUAAGAUUACGAAGCUGAAGCACAAUAAAACUAUUCUAGUACAUGGAAACUGCAUGCAAUUUAUCUACUGGGGUGUGUGUUAUGUUUCAGAAUGCUUUGAAUAACAGUGAUCUUCAUGGUCAUGAUAUUCAUGAGAGAACUAUUGGAGAAAAAGUUCAGGUAAACUUUAGACUGCAGCUGUUAUUUAUUUACUUGGUAGGUCUUUAGGAGCUAAGUUGUAUUGUUUAAUUCCAUGCAGCUUUAGAACGUAAGCCUGGUUCUCAAUGGCCUUAGCUCAUUUUGAGAAAGAUGGAGAUAUUUCAGAAGGUAUUAGGAUUUUUGUGGUAAACUAUAAAGUGGGGACCUUUGAACCAUUAUUUUGCACUUGUAAAUCAAGGCCAAGACCUUGAAGAGCCCCUUCUUCCUCGGUAAGAGGGGAGAUACUCUGGGUAAGACUGAGAGUAGCCCAAUUUGCUACAGUUGGUUUUUGAAAAACAAAGCUCAGAGCAUCACUAGUGCCUUUUAAUGGACCAAGCUAGAUCUCUGCUAGAUGUGAGUGCUGCACCUCCAAUACAUAUCUUAUGCUACAUUACUCUUUCUUUCUUUCUCCCCUCUAUUUGCUCUCUCUGAGGUGCCAACAAGAAAAUCAAUCUGAUAGUGAAUGGACUGCAGCAUGUUGUUCUCUCCCAGUUCCUACUGACAAACUAAACCCAGCAUCUAUAUCAAUUGCUUUGCACAGAUUUCUCUCUUAAAGUGUGUCGCCCUUCAAGGGAGGACUAAUGAUGCCAUUGCUUCUGCUAGCACUGCCAGACUUUUUUGGGGAUUUUUUUGCACUGAUUUUUGGGGAAUGCACAGGAAGGAGUUUCAUGGCUCUUUAUCCCUUUCUCCUAUCUUGAAGAAAAACUGCACUUCUCAAACAACAGUAACUGUUGCUUCUAUUUUCCUGCCUAAAAGUAUCUGAACCACACAACAUGAAAUAUUUCUUAGAGUAUAUGUGGUUUAAAAAAAAAAAGCUAAAUCUCUUUUGUUCUUCCUACUGAAGUUUUAUCCAUGGAGAGGAAGAGACUGUACAAAGAAGUACUGACAAAUCACUUAUUUCAAAACUGGAAGGAAACUUUUAAAGUGCUCAGAAAAGUUGCGCAUGGAGCCAUUUUAAAACUAACAACAGUGAUGACAUCUUGGAAUGAAUUCCUAUGGAAUUUGAAAGCAUAAGCAGCUGAACUUCGGUCAGAUCCAGUGACUUCCUAGAGACUUCAAUAUCUUGUUCAAAAUGGACAUCCACACCAUUUGAAGUUCCAUCUGGUCUAGGUGUGUAUUCCUGCUACUCUGCCUCAAGUUUUUAAAAAGCAAAUUUGUAAGCAAUGUUGUUUAGUUUUGAAUGCUUAAGCCCCAUCAGUUUCGCUGAACUUAAAGCACCUACUUGCAUUAAGAGAGAAGUACAUCUGCUGUUAUGGGUAUACUGCUUUCUCAGUCAGAAUGUGUGCUGGUAGUAGUGAUAUUUUACAUAUUGGUUAGGAAAUCUAACAGAUUUAUGAUAUAUCUUGAUGUAUUAACAGAUACAGUACAGUUUGUAAGAGAGGUUAAUUCUUAACAAAGCUGCAGUUUAUUAACACUUAAUUUUCAGUUUGUUUGUGGUGAGUUGCGUCUGUGUAACUCAAAUUCUGUAGAAAGAAAUACAUAACUAUAUGCCAAGAGUCCAUACUGACUAAAUCAGGAAUGACUGUUCUAAAAUAACUUUUAGAAGAACAUUGACUUUUCAACAAAACUUAUCUACCUUUCACUGGAUUCAAUGCUGAAAUCUCAUUUCUACAAAUUGGAGUAGAGCCCAUAGUGCUGCUUUUAAUUUUUGCAGCAAAAUGUUAAUAUAUCUUUCCAUGUUAGAAUCUAUAAAAGUCUUCUACCAAAAGCGUGUGCUAAUUGGAUAUUUUAAUUAAAUUGAUAUUAUUACAAUUUCUGCCCUUGGGAAUUUAUUUCCAUGUUUGUACAUCAGACAAGAACAUGACUUUCAAUCUACAAUUAAGGGAGAAAGGACAAAAUAUACAAUUAAGCAAGGACAAGCAGAAAGGCUUCUAAGUUUAUGUAAAAAGACAUUAAACAUGUCAGAUCAGAAAUUUAAUGAUGUCUUUUCAAGACCAGAAAGUGAAACUCUAGAUUUUGGAGACAUUUAUAUUGUUUCAUGACAUAGCUUUGUACCUCAAUCUGUUGGAAAACCAGGUGUAAUUACUUUCUUUUUGAGAGAGUUUAAAAAUUAUUCUAAGGAUACAAAGUCUUUAUGGAUAGAUUUUUAAGAUAUCCAAUAGUGAGUGGUUCAGUUUCUCCUGGUGACAUUUUUUCACUUCUACAGUCUUUAGUAUCCAUGAACUCAUAGUUCACCCAUGAAUUGAGCUCCAAAGCUUCUGGGUCAGUGAGCUCUUUACAUGUGACUUAACAUACUUUGCAGUAUACCUUGAGUUCUAUUUACAUUCACUUUGCAUCAUCAGAGGGGCAGAAAAUAUUUCCCAGGAGAUGAUUACAUCUAGGACCUGAAAUAAGGCAGGAUUCUUGGGGAA